rnacentral:rRNA from 1 species
GGGGGGGGGGGGGGGGGGGGGGGGGGGGGGGGGGGGGGGGGGGGGGGGGGGGGGGUUGCCGCUCUGGGGGGGGCGGCGGGCGGGGGAGUAGGGCGUGGGUAACCUAGCUAUAAGACUGGGGUGACUUCGGGAAACCGGAGCGAAUACCGGGUCAUCUUUUGCACCGCAUGGUUCAAAAGGGCAAGGCGGUCUUGCUGUCACUGAUAGAUGGAUCCGCGCUGCAUUAGCUAGUUGGUAAGGUAACGGCUUACCAAGGCAACGAUGCAUAGCCGACCUGAGAGGGUGAUCGGCCACACUGGAACUGAGACACGGUCCAGACUCCUACGGGAGGCAGCAGUAGGGAAUCUUCCGCAAUGGGCGAAAGCCUGACGGAGCAACGCCGCGUGAGUGAUGAAGGUCUUCGGAUCGUAAAACUCUGUUAUUAGGGAAGAACAUAUGUGUAAGUAACUGUGCACAUCUUGACGGUACCUAAUCAGAAAGCCACGGCUAACUACGUG